AUGACGAGGCAAUCGACGCUGCGCCGUAGCCUCGCCGUCCCCCCUGUGGCUGCGGGAUCCGAUGGGGACGGAUCUCACGGGAUGAUGACGCGAGCGCGGCGCCGGCGGCUUAGCCUCCUCGCGAAUGCACUUCGGAAGCAAGAUGCGGGAGCGUCGGGAGAAGCAUCACACGGUGAAGCAGUAGCUCAAUGGAAUGCCUUUCGCUUUGCCCACCAUAUAGCCCACAUGAAUGGAGGGAUUGGGCCAACCUGCUCCCUGUAG
rnacentral:rRNA from 1 species